UGGAUCCAGAACUUUGAUCCUGGCUCAGGAUGAACGCUAGCUACAGGCUUAACACAUGCAAGUCGAGGGGAAACGACAUCGAAAGCUUGCUUUUGAUGGGCGUCGACCGGCGCACGGGUGAGUAACGCGUAUCCAACCUGCCCACCACUUGGGGAUAACCUUGCGAAAGUAAGACUAAUACCCAAUGAUAUCUCUAGAAGACAUCUGAAAGAGAUUAAAGAUUUAUCGGUGAUGGAUGGGGAUGCGUCUGAUUAGCUUGUUGGCGGGGUAACGGCCCACCAAGGCUACGAUCAGUAGGGGUUCUGAGAGGAAGGUCCCCCACAUUGGAACUGAGACACGGUCCAAACUCCUACGGGAGGCAGCAGUGAGGAAUAUUGGUCAAUGGACGAGAGUCUGAACCAGCCAAGUAGCGUGCAGGAUGACGGCCCUAUGGGUUGUAAACUGCUUUUAUAAGGGAAUAAAGUGAGUCUCGUGAGGCUUUUUGCAUGUACCUUAUGAAUAAGGACCGGCUAAUUCCGUGCCAGCAGCCGCGGUAAUACGGAAGGUCCGGGCGUUAUCCGGAUUUAUUGGGUUUAAAGGGAGCGUAGGCCGGAGAUUAAGCGUGUUGUGAAAUGUAGACGCUCAACGUCUGCACUGCAGCGCGAACUGGUUUCCUUGAGUACGCACAAAGUGGGCGGAAUUCGUGGUGUAGCGGUGAAAUGCUUAGAUAUCACGAAGAACUCCGAUUGCGAAGGCAGCUCACUGGAGCGCAACUGACGCUGAAGCUCGAAAGUGCGGGUAUCGAACAGGAUUAGAUACCCUGGUAGUCCGCACGGUAAACGAUGGAUGCCCGCUGUUGGUCUGAAUAGGUCAGCGGCCAAGCGAAAGCAAUUAAGCAUCCCACCUGGGGAGUACGCCGGCAACGGUGCAA
rnacentral:rRNA from 2 species